rnacentral:rRNA from 1 species
CCUUGRGGKGGGGGACAACAGUUGGAAACRACUGCUAAUACCGCAUAAUGUCUACGGACCAAAGGGGGYUUCGGYUCUCGCCUUUAGAUKGGCCCAAGKGGGAUUAGCUAGUUGGKGAGGUAAUGGYUCACCAAGGCRACRAUCCCUASCUGGUUUGARAGGAUGAUCASCCACACUGGGAYUGARACACGGCCCARACUCCUACGGGAGGCAGCAGUGGGRAAUWUUGCACAAUGGGCGCAAGCCUGAUGCAGCCWUGCCSCGKGKGUGAARAAGGCCUUCGGGUUGUAAAGCAYUUUCAGUCAGGAGGAAAGGUUAGUAGUUAAUACYUGYUAGYUGUGACGUUACUGACAGAARAAGCACCGGYUAAYUCCGUGCCAGCAGCCGCGGUAAUACGGAGGGUGCRAGCGUUAWUCGRAAUUACUGGGCGUAAAGCGUACSCAGGCGGUUUGUUAAGCGAGAUGUGAAAGCCCCGGGCUCAACCUGGGAACUGCAUUUCRAAYUGGCAAACUAGAGUGUGAUAGAGGGUGGUAGAAUUUCAGGUGUAGCGGUGAAUGCGUAGAGAUCUGAAGGAAUACCGAUGGCGGAGGCAGCCACCUGGGUCAACACUGACGCUCAUGUACGAAAGCGUGGGGAGCAAACGGGAUUAGAUACCCCAGUAGUCCACGCCGUAAACGAUGUCUACUAGAAGCUCGGAGCCUCGGUUCUGUUUUUCAAAGCUAACGCAUUAAGUAGACCGCCUGGGGAGUACGGCCGUAAGGUUAAAACUCAAAUGAAUUGACGGGGGCCCGCACAAGCGGUGGAGCAUGUGGUUUWAUUYGAUGCAACGCGAAGAACCUUACCUACACUUGACAUACAGAGAACUUACCAGAGAUGGUUUGGUGCCUUCGGGAACUYUGAUACAGGUGCUGCAUGGCUGUCGUCAGCUCGUGUUGUGAGAUGUUGGGUUAAGUCCCGCAACGAGCGCAACCCCUAUCCUUAGUUGCUAGCAGGUAAUGCUGAGAACUCUAAGGAGACUGCCGGUGAUAAACCGGAGGAAGGUGGGGACGACGUCAGGUCAUCAUGGCCCUUACGUGUAGGGCUACACACGUGCUACAAUGGCGCAUACAGAGUGCUGCGAACUCGCGAGAGUAAGCGAAUCACUUAAAGUGCGUCGUAGUCCGGAUUGGAGUYUGCAACUCGACUCCAUGAAGUCGGAAUCGCUAGUAAUCGCGUAUCAGAAUGACGCGGUGAAUACGUUCCCGGGCCUUGUACACACC